rnacentral:lncRNA from 1 species
CCACAACGCUACCCAACUCCUCGUACUUCUCAUAAUCCUCGUGUAACUGAUUUAACCCACAACCUAAGCCACAUCCCCUUUGGGCUCUCGAGGAGUUUUCUCGCUUUUCACUCCUCCCUUCUAUGCCGAUCCCGUUCGCCAUCCCAGUUGUGUGUCCAGGGCUGCCCAAAACAGUACUCCCUCUUUUGGGAAGGUGUCCCACCACUGUCCCCCACCCCUACCCCCCACCCCCAGUCUUCGAUUCGGUCCCCAGCUCUCCGGGCAACGGACCAGGAUCUCUCGGCUUCCACUCCCCGCCAAGGAACUAAAGAAGGGUGUAAAGAAAUGGAAUCCACCUCAAGCACGUUCGAUUUCCUCUCAACACCUAUUCGUGCUACGUGCCCCCUCGUCCCCUCAGAGAUCAGGACCCUCCAGGGCACACCAGGCUCCUCCUGCACCCUUAGCUUCCAAGUCGGGGCGCGCCCCACCUUCCACGCAGGCCCCGACCGGCCCCCUCCCACCUCCAAGCCGGGACCCCGGGCAGCCCUCCGCCCUCUAAGCCCCGCAGCCCCGCGCUGCUCCCGCCGCCCCCCCACCCCGCC